AGCGAACGCUGGCGGCAGGCCUAACACAUGCAAGUCGAACGAAGUCUUCGGACUUAGUGGCGGACGGGUGAGUAACACGUGGGAACGUGCCUUUAGGUUCGGAAUAACUCAGGGAAACUUGUGCUAAUACCGAAUGUGCCCUUCGGGGGAAAGAUUUAUCGCCUUUAGAGCGGCCCGCGUCUGAUUAGCUGGUUGGUGAGGUAAAGGCUCACCAAGGCUACGAUCAGUAGCUGGUCCGAGAGGAUGACCAGCCACAUUGGGACUGAGACACGGCCCAAACUCCUACGGGAGGCAGCAGUGGGGAAUCUUGCGCAAUGGGCGAAAGCCUGACGCAGCCAUGCCGCGUGGAUGAUGAAGGUCUUAGGAUUGUAAAAUCCUUUCACCGGUGAAGAUAAUGACUGUAGCCGGAGAAGAAGCCCCGGCUAACUUCGUGCCAGCCGCCGCAGUAACAC
rnacentral:rRNA from 1 species